GAUGAAGAACGUAGCGAAAUGCGAUAAGUAGUGUGAAUUGCAGAAUUCAGUGAAUCAUCGAAUCUUUGAACGCUCAUUGCGCCGCUUGGUAUUCCAUGGGGCAUGCCUGUUCGAGCGUCAUUUGUACCUUCAAGCUCUGCUUGGUGUUGGGUGUUUGUCUCGCCUCUGCGUGUAGACUCGCCUCAAAACAAUUGGCAGCCGGCGUAUUGAUUUCGGAGCGCAGUACAUCUCGCGCUUUGCACUCAUAACGACGACGUCCAAAAGUACAUUUUUACACUCUUGACCUCGGAUCAGGUAGGGAUACCCGCUGAACUUAAGCAUAUCAAUAAGCGGAGGA
rnacentral:misc_RNA from 1 species